rnacentral:miRNA from 1 species
GAAAUCCGUCACCCCGGCGAAGGCCGGGGCCCAGUGACUCCAGCUCUUGAUGUAAGUCAAAGUCGCUGGGCCCCGGCCUUCGCCGGGGUGACGAGUCGA